rnacentral:rRNA from 1 species
UACGUAGGGUGCAGGCGUUAAUCGGAAUUACUGGGCGUAAAGCGUGCGCAGGCGGUUUGCUAAGACAGGUGUGAAAUCCCCGGGCUUAACCUGGGAACUGCGCUUGUUACUGGCAAGCUUGAGUGUGGCAGAGGGGGGUGGAAUUCCACGUGUAGCAGUGAAAUGCGUAGAGAUGUGGAGGAACACCGAUGGCGAAGGCAGCCCCUGGGCUAACACUGACGCUCAUGCACGAAAGCGUGGGGAGCAAACAGG